CCAGAGUGUUUCCAACACUUUAAAGCUUGCGCAGAUAGAAAUCAAGUGGAGACUUAAUGCACGUGUAUCUAAGAUUGAUCUGUUGCAGGAGCAUGUCCUCCUCUGUAAAGCCGUGGGUCAGCACAGCCUGGGACCUGCCCACCUGAGCAGGGAGAGGGGCCACCACUUGGACCGUGUGACCUUGAGCAGCCUGCACGCCUUAAUGAAGCGAGCUGCCGUGUGGAGGAGGCCCACGUGGCACAGAAGAGGGAGCAGACUCCAGCCAACAGUCCACAUGGGAGGGUCUGAGACCCUCAACCCAACAAGGGUCCAGGUGCUGCCAACAGCCUCCAAGUGCGCAUGGCAGCCAGUCCGUCCCCAGCGGAGCCUUCAGACCACAGACCCUGGGUCAGUGCCAGGACCUUGGCCUCUGGGACCACACAAAACAUGUAGCCGCCUGCACUCUGCCCAUGCGCCUGACCAUACAAACUGUGAGACGAGGCGACCACGUGUUAAGUUUGGGGUGACUUGUCACGCGGCAAGAGAUAACUGAGACACUGGCUCAGCUACUGCCAUGUCAAGAACAAGUAAUGGAAUCUCAGGGAAAAGUGGAUCAACAUUAAGGAUUUUUUUUUAAUGUGGCUAACUUUAUUCUCCAUAGUAAUAUUUGCUAUCAACAGAGAAUGGAGGAAAUGUUUGUAAAGUUAUGAGGGAAAGACAAUGUGAGCCAAGAACAUUAAACCCAGUUAGAUGCUGCUCAAGUAAAAACACUGUAAAGCAAUUUAAAAAAAAAAAAAAAAACUUACCAAAGUAUACAAUUGGUGAUUUUAUUGUAACUACACUUCAAUAAAGAUUUUUUUUUAAGAAUUGAA